rnacentral:rRNA from 1 species
GAGGUUAAGCGACUAAGCGUACACGGUGGAUGCCCUGGCAGUCAGAGGCGAUGAAGGACGUGCUAAUCUGCGAUAAGCGUCGGUAAGGUGAUAUGAACCGUUAUAACCGGCGAUUUCCGAAUGGGGAAACCCAGUGUGAUUCGUCACACUAUCAUUAACUGAAUCCAUAGGUUAAUGAGGCGAACCGGGGGAACUGAAACAUCUAAGUACCCCGAGGAAAAGAAAUCAACCGAGAUUCCCCCAGUAGCGGCGAGCGAACGGGGAGCAGCCCAGAGCCUGAAUCAGUGUGUGUGUUAGUGGAAGCGUCUGGAAAGGCGCGCGAUACAGGGUGACAGC